rnacentral:rRNA from 2 species
GUCGUCAGCUCGUGUUGUGAAAUGUUGGGUUAAGUCCCGCAACGAGCGCAACCCUUAUCCUUUGUUGCCAGCGAUUAGGUCGGGAACUCAAAGGAGACUGCCAGUGAUAAACUGGAGGAAGGUGGGGAUGACGUCAAGUCAUCAUGGCCCUUACGACCAGGGCUACACACGUGCUACAAUGGCGCAUACAAAGAGAAGCGACCUCGCGAGAGCAAGCGGACCUCAUAAAGUGCGUCGUAGUCCGGAUUGGAGUCUGCAACUCGACUCCAUGAAGUCGGAAUCGCUAGUAAUCGUGGAUCAGAAUGCCACGGUGAAUACGUUCCCGGGCCUUGUACACACCGCCCGUCACACCAUGGGAGUGGGUUGCAAAAGAAGUAGGUAGCUUAACCUUCGGGAGGGCGCUUACCACUUUGUGAUUCAUGACUGGGGUGAAGUCGUAACAAGGUAACCGUAGGGGAACCUGCGGUUGGA